GAUGAACGCUAGCGGCAGGCCUAACACAUGCAAGUCGAGGGACCGGCGCACGGGUGCGUAACGCGUAUGCAAUCUACCUUGUACCGCGGGAUAGCCCAGAGAAAUUUUGAUUAAUACCUCAUAGUACACGAUGAGCAUGCGUCCCAUUAGUUAGUUGGUGUGGUAACGGCACACCAAGACGAUGAUGGGUAGGGGUCCUGAGAGGGAGAUCCCCCACACUGGUACUGAGAAACGGACCAGACGCCUACGUGAGGCAGCAGUGAGGAAUAUUGGUCAAUGGAGGCAACUCUGAACCAGCCAUGCCGCGUGUAUGAAGAAGGAUUCGGGUUGUAAAGAACUUUCAGCGGGAGACGGUACCGCAGAAGAAGCACCGGCUAACUCCGUGCCAGCAGCCGCGGUAAUAC
rnacentral:rRNA from 1 species